CAGGCUUUUUGUGCCUUGUGUCCUGAUGAAGAUACUGCCUUAAUGUUGCUUUUACACAUACCUUCAUAUAGUACAUAGCUUCCCCUUCAUGCCAGACCUGAAAAUGUAGAUUGCCAUGAGCAGUGGCCUGUUUACAUUGGGUGAAUGACUAGCAGUUGGGAUCCUGUUCCCCUUUCAUAGGUUCCUGUAUUUAUUUGUUUAUGUGUGCGUAGCUCAGCUCUCUGACCAGCCACAGACUCUGUACAACCUAUUUAAAACACAGAUUUAACAGUUUUAAGGAAGGUGCAUUUUGUCUCCUCAGAAAGCUCUGAGAAAUGUCAUUGUUUUGGUAUGACAGCCUCAUACAAAGUGAAGAACCUUUGGUCCAUUACAAAUCUGGCACGUCUCUGUGGUAAUUGAUGUCAAAGUAGUGUGUUUGUGUGUGUAAAAAUCACACACAUAUAAAUAUAGUUUGGUAGUGAAGAGACAUCCUCAGACCUGUUGAACAUAUUUGUUUCCUGUCAUAAAUACUAAUGAUGCUUUGCAAAGCUCUUUAUUACAUCAGCAGUAAAUCUGUGUGAGCUGUCAGAGAUAAGAGGACUGGUCUUGGGGCAAACAUGGAAGGCCAACUAUUAACAACCCAAUGUAAAACUGCUCUUCCAGAAGGGUAGUGCUUUGAUUACGAUUAGAGCAAUUUCUUUAAUUAUGAAAGAAGUAAGUCAGAAGCACAGUCCUUGAGAACAAGCACAAGCUGAGCGCAAUAAGACAGCCACCUGUUCCUGAAGUAUGUGCAUGUAAAGAGGCAACAUCACCCAUCUGUCAUGGAAUAUGAUUUGUACAGGAAGCGAAAGCUAACAUCUGUCUUGAAACACAGUGAUUAUGAAGUGCACGAUCGUGUAGGAUUUGCUGAGCUUACGAAACAUUUGUUGCUAGCAUCCAAAGAAAUAAUAACCAACCCUCUCCAUUUUGACAUAUGUUGGGGCUCUCCUUUCAAACUGCGACCUGUGACAACUGUCGUGAAAGCACAGGUCCCUUCUGCACAUAUGAUAGAGGCGGCACGGCUUCUGGAAUUCAGAAGAAUGGAGAACAUUGAGUUUCAAAAGAAAGUUGCACAGCAAGUAGAGUCUGCACUGAAAAGCAGAAUGCUGUUGGAAAGAAAGCCAUUGCCCCCAAGUUCUUCCAGCUAGGCCUUACUUUUACUUGCGAUUGUUUAAUCAUCCUAUCGAGAAGGGUCCAACCAUUCACUAGGUCAACGAUCAAAGCGAGUAAGCUGUCAGAGGUAUCCCUGCACCGGUAAUACAACAUGUACAUCUAGAAGCAUCACUAUAAUGAUUAAAUGCAGAGUUGGAAAAAGGGCACUGAUCCCUAAUGGUCAUCAUUAUAUGGAAAACAUAGGAAGUAAUACUACUGCAUAAAUGCAAUUGCUAACCUUGGCUAGAGUAGACCUAUUGAAUCAAUUGCUGAAUGGUAAGUCCACACAUAUGUAAGUCUACUGGGAACAGAUAGGUCUGCUUUAGUUGGGAUUAGCAAUUGGACCUAUAAAUUGUGCCUAUGGCUUAUUUAGACAUAAGAAUAAACAACGGUUUAUUGUUGCA
rnacentral:lncRNA from 1 species